GAUGAAGACGCAGCGAAAUGCGAUACGUAAUGUGAAUUGCAGAAUUCAGUGAAUCAUCGAGUCUUUGAACGCACAUUGCGCCCCCUGGUAUUCCGGGGGGCAUGCCUGUCCGAGCGUCAUUGCUGCCCUCAAGCACGGCUUGUGUGUUGGGCCUCCGUCCUCCUCCCGGGGGACGGGCCCGAAAGGCAGCGGCGGCACCGCGUCCGGUCCUCGAGCGUAUGGGGCUUCGUCACCCGCUCUUGUAGGCCCGGCCGGCGCUUGCCGACACAUCAAUCUUUUUUCCAGGUUGACCUCGGAUCAGGUAGGGAUACCCGCUGAACUUAAGCAUAUCAAUAAGCGGAGGA
rnacentral:misc_RNA from 1 species